rnacentral:rRNA from 1 species
GAUGAACGCUGGCGGCGUGCCUAAUACAUGCAAGUCGAGCGAACAGACGAGGAGCUUGCUCCUCUGACGUUAGCGGCGGACGGGUGAGUAACACGUGGAUAACCUACCUAUAAGACUGGGAUAACUUCGGGAAACCGGAGCUAAUACCGGAUAAUAUAUUGAACCGCAUGGUUCAAUAGUGAAAGACGGUUUUGCUGUCACUUAUAGAUGGGUCCGCGCCGCAUUAGCUAGUUGGUAAGGUAACGGCUUACCAAGGCAACGAUGCGUAGCCGACCUGAGAGGGUGAUCGGCCACACUGGAACUAAGACACGGUCCAGACUCCUACGGGAGGCAGCAGUAGGGAAUCUUCCGCAAUGGGCGAAAGCCUGACGGAGCAACGCCGCGUGAGUGAUGAAGGUCUUCGGAUCGUAAAACUCUGUUAUUAGGGAAGAACAAAUGUGUAAGUAACUAUGCACGUCUUGACGGUACCUAUCAGAAAGCCACGGCUAACUACGUGCCAGCCGCCGCAGUAA